rnacentral:rRNA from 1 species
UACAGGGGGUGCAAACGUUGCUCGGAAUCAUUGGGCGUAAAGCGCACGUAGGCGGUUCGUUAUGUCGGAUGUGAAAGCCCUUGGCUUAACCGAGGAAGUGCAUCCGAAACUGGCGAGCUAGAGUACUAAAGAGGAUCGCGGAAUUCCCGGUGUAGAGGUGAAAUGCGUAGAGAUCAGGAGGAACACCCGUGGCGAAGGCGGCCCUCUGGCUCGACCCUGACGCUGAGGCGCGAAAGCGUGGGGAGCGAACGGG